rnacentral:rRNA from 1 species
CCUACGGGAGGCAGCAGUGAGGAAUUUUCCGCAAUGGGCGAAAGCCUGACGGAGCAAUACCGCGUGAGGGAUGAAGGAUUUUGGUCUGUAAACCUCUUUUCUCAAGAAAGAAGUUCUGACGGUACUUGAGGAAUAAGCAUCGGCUAACUCCGUGCCAGCAGCCGCGGUAAUACGGGGGGAUGCAAGCGUUAUCCGGAAUGAUUGGGCGUAAAGCGCCUGUAGGUUGUUUAUUAAGUCCGUUGUUAAAGCCUAGGGCUUAACCCUAGAAAAGCAAUGGAAACUAGUAGACUAGAGUAUGGCAGGGGUAGAGGGAAUUUCUAGUGUAGCGGUGAAAUGCGUAGAUAUUAGAAAGAACACCGGUGGCGAAAGCGCUCUACUGGACCAUUACUGACACUCAGAGGCGAAAGCUAGGGUAGCAAAAGGGAUUAAGAUACCCCUGUAGUCCUAGCCGUAAACGAUGGAUACUAGAUGUUGUGCAUUAUGUACAGUAUCGUAGCUAACGCGUUAAGUAUCCCGCCUGGGGAGUACGCUCGCAAGGGUGAAACUUAAAGGAAUUGACG